GACGAACGCUGGCGGCGUGCUUAACACAUGCAAGUCGAACGGAAAGGCCCUGCUUUUGUGGGGUGCUCGAGUGGCGAACGGGUGAGUAACACGUGAGUAACCUGCCCUUGACUUUGGGAUAACUUCAGGAAACUGGGGCUAAUACCGGAUAGGAGCUCCUGCUGCAUGGUGGGGGUUGGAAAGUUUCGGCGGCUGGGGAUGGACUCGCGGCUUAUCAGCUUGUUGGUGGGGUAGUGGCUUACCAAGGCUUUGACGGGUAGCCGGCCUGAGAGGGUGACCGGCCACAUUGGGACUGAGAUACGGCCCAGACUCCUACGGGAGGCAGCAGUGGGGAAUAUUGCACAAUGGGCGGAAGCCUGAUGCAGCAACGCCGCGUGCGGGAUGACGGCCUUCGGGUUGUAAACCGCUUUCGCCUGUGACGAAGCGUGAGUGACGGUAAUGGGUAAAGAAGCACCGGCUAACUACGUGCCAGCAGCCGCGGUGAUACGUAGGGUGCGAGCGUUGUCCGGAUUUAUUGGGCGUAAAGGGCUCGUAGGUGGUUGAUCGCGUCGGAAGUGUAAUCUUGGGGCUUAACCCUGAGCGUGCUUUCGAUACGGGUUGACUUGAGGAAGGUAGGGGAGAAUGGAAUUCCUGGUGGAGCGGUGGAAUGCGCAGAUAUCAGGAGGAACACCAGUGGCGAAGGCGGUUCUCUGGGCCUUUCCUGACGCUGAGGAGCGAAAGCGUGGGGAGCGAACAGGCUUAGAUACCCUGGUAGUCCACGCUGUAAACGGUGGGUACUAGGUGUGGGGUCCAUUCCACGGGUUCCGUGCCGUAGCUAACGCUUUAAGUACCCCGCCUGGGGAGUACGGCCGCAAGGCUAAAACUCAAAGGAAUUGACGGGGCCCCGCACAAGCGGCGGAGCAUGCGGAUUAAUUCGAUGCAACGCGUAGAACCUUACCUGGGUUUGACAUGGAUCGGGAGUGCUCAGAGAUGGGUGUGCCUCUUUUGGGGUCGGUUCACAGGUGGUGCAUGGCUGUCGUCAGCUCGUGUCGUGAGAUGUUGGGUUAAGUCCCGCAACGAGCGCAACCCUUGUUCACUGUUGCCAGCACGUUAUGGUGGGGACUCAGUGGAGACCGCCGGGGUCAACUCGGAGGAAGGUGGGGAUGACGUCAAGUCAUCAUGCCCCUUAUGUCCAGGGCUUCACGCCUGCUACAAUGGCUGGUACAGAGAGUGGCGAGCCUGUGAGGGUGAGCGAAUCUCGGAAAGCCGGUCUCAGUUCGGAUUGGGGUCUGCAACUCGACCUCAUGAAGUCGGAGUCGCUAGUAAUCGCAGAUCAGCAACGCUGCGGUGAAUACGUUCCCGGGGCU
rnacentral:rRNA from 1 species